GGUUCGUUGGUGUAGUUGGUUAUCACACCUGUCUCACACACAGGAGGUCCUCGGUUCGAGCCCGAGGCGAACCA